UCCAGACAGAGCCCAGCUGGGAAGCCUCACCAGCUGACCCUCCGAAGAGGCAUGAAAUAAAAACUUGUUUACCCUCCAGAAAACCAGAGAGAGAAACUGAUACCCUGUCCCCCGGCUCAUGUCUUCUUCCACAACUGGCAGCCAACUUAGCCUUGUUUACUGCUUGCAAGCACCAAAGGGUUAAAGCGAACCUUGCACAAACUUUGCUGUGAGCUGAGCUCGCAGCCUCCCUCCCUUCCCUCCUUGCCUGCUGCGAGACACAGCCGCGAUCCUCUCCGCUCUGACCGUUGCCUGCGGCUGCCGAGGGAGGGGACUGUCUGACUCGCGCUGUUUCCAUCCCAGCAGUGAAACACAUGAAGAGAAGACUCCUUGCCCCCUUCUCCUAUUGCCUGUGAAGGAAGGACAUCACCACUGAUGCUGUUCAGCCAGACCGUCAGUUGGCAUCUCAAGACCCGGAGUAAGAGCCAUCCCUGCCACUGAACCAUGUGAAUUCAAGAGCAGAGAAGAAAGUGCACUUGGCAUGUUUGUUGCUAAAAAGACAGUAACCUGACUCCAGCAUUAAGACAGCAAAUCUUUUCUGCACAAAUCCCACUACCUGGGAGGAGAUGUUCCUAGAUAAAUCACCAGCAAGCUCAUGGUCUGAACCAGAUGCUCAAAUGUCUAGUCCCAACACCCCUGCCUGCUCUGAAAGAAAGAUGACUUUUUGACUGUCUCUAAUGAGCAACUCAAAACCCCAUAC